rnacentral:rRNA from 1 species
AACGAACGCUGGCGGCAGGCUUAACACAUGCAAGUCGAACGCGUGCAGCAAUGCACGAGUGGCGCACGGGUGAGUAACGCGUGGAUAUCUGCCUUUUGGUUCGGAAUAACCCCGGGAAACUGGGGCUAAUACCGGAUGGUUCCUACGGGAUAAAGAUUUAUCGCCAAAAGAUGAGUCCGCGUCCGAUUAGCUAGUUGGUGAGGUAAUGGCUCACCAAGGCGACGAUCGGUAGCUGGUCUGAGAGGACGAUCAGCCACACUGGGACUGAGACACGGCCCAGACUCCUACGGGAGGCAGCAGUGGGGAAUAUUGGACAAUGGGGGCAACCCUGAUCCAGCCAUGCCGCGUGAGUGAUGAAGGCCUUCGGGUUGUAUAGCUCUUUUGGCGGGGACGAUGAUGACGGUACCCGCAGAAUAAGCCCCGGCUAACUUCGUG